GUGUCAGCCGCCGCGGUAAGACGAACCGUGCGAACGUUGUUCGGAAUCACUGGGCUUAAAGGGCGCGUAGGCGGGUGACCAAGUCCGGGGUGAAAUCUUUCGGCUUAACCGGAAAAGUGCCUUGGAUACUGGUCGUCUUGAGGGAGGUAGGGGCAGGUGGAACUUCCGGUGGAGCGGUGAAAUGCGUUGAUAUCGGAAGGAACGCCGGUGGCGAAAGCGGCCUGCUGGAUCUCUUCUGACGCUGAGGCGCGAAAGCUAGGGGAGCAAACGGGAUUAGAUACCCCUGUAGUCC
rnacentral:rRNA from 1 species